rnacentral:rRNA from 1 species
AUGCCUAGGAAUCUGCCUGGUAGUGGGGGAUAACGUCCGGAAACGGGCGCUAAUACCGCAUACGUCCUGAGGGAGAAAGUGGGGGAUCUUCGGACCUCACGCUAUCAGAUGAGCCUAGGUCGGAUUAGCUAGUUGGUGGGGUAAAGGCCUACCAAGGCGACGAUCCGUAACUGGUCUGAGAGGAUGAUCAGUCACACUGGAACUGACACACGGUCCAGACUACUACCGGAGGCAGCAGUGGGGAAUAUUGGACAAUGGGCGAAAGCCUGAUCCAGCCAUGCCGCGUGUGUGAAGAAGGUCUUCGGAUUGUAAAGCACUUUUAAUUGGGAGGAAGGGCAGUAAGUUAAUACCUUGCUGUUUUGACGUUACCAACGUAAUAAGCACCUGCUAACUUCCAGCCAGCAACCGCGGUAAUACAAUGGUGCAAGCGUCAUCGGAAUUACUGGCCGUAAAUCUCGCUCAUUUGUUCAACUAAUUCUAUGUAAAAUCCCCUAACUCAAAUUGAUAAUUUCACUUACAACUACCUAUCUAUCUUACUGUUUAUGGUCUAGAAUUUUCCAUUUGUAAAUUUUUUAUCUAUUUAUCCCAAUUAAUCUUAGAAAAAUCCACCAUCUAUUAUUCAACUUACCUAUUACUUCAAUUUUCACCAUUUUUCCUACUGAUUUCCUUUUUUAUAUGGUUUUUUCUUCUAAACCCCUCUUUAUUACCUUUUUUUUUGACUGUAAUACUUACGGCCCGCACUUUUAAUUUCUCUUACUACCCAAGUAAAUCUUACAACUUUAUUUUUUCCCUAUUUCCACUUUUUUUGUAUUUUUUCUUUCUCUUCCCCUCAAUUUUGCUUUGUAUCUUUCCACUAUUUUUUAAAUAUUAAUCUAUCUCUUCUACAUUUUUAACUUCUUACUUUUUCUUCCCUUAUAUUUCCCCCUCUAAUAAUCUCACUUUUCUUAAUCACUCUAUAUCUUAAUUUCGUUUAAUUACAAUUUCAUAUCUUUAAUAUUUUUUUAUUCUACUUUUAUUACCCUUCUUUAAAAUUCUAUCCUCUUAUCUCUUUUU